rnacentral:tRNA from 1 species
AGUUUUAUGGUGUAAAGAUUAGCACGAGUGGUUGCAAACCACUUAGAGAUAUAAAUAUCUAAGACUUUA